CAUGCCCUAUUGUUAAACCCAGGUUUGGUGGAAGUGCCAAUAAAAAACAGUUUCAGGUUAGGGUGGACCUCAGAGUGGGUAUUCUCCAGGGGAUUUUCACAUUCUCAUUUGGCAUUCAAUGGACUUAAACUUUGAAAAACAACCUAUUACAUCAUAUUUUUCCGCAAAUAUUUUCAUUACACAAUAUUUUAAUCAGAUCAGAAGUCUUUUCAAAUAAACUCUCAGUUUCACUUACUUUAGUCAUUUACUUCAAGUUCAUUGAGGAAUGAGUAUUUUUAAGCUAUAGAUGUUAUUGUAGUCACAGAUGUUUUUAUACUGUACAAACUUUUGUACCCAGUCUCAAACUUCACAGGGAGUACAAUCCAAUUGUUUUUAAUGAUUAUUGUGUCAGUGGGUACGAAGGUCACAUGACUGUUCAUCGCCAUUCAAGGAAUCAGGCAGGAACUAUCAGCAUGUGAGAAUGCAGAGUUAAGGCUGAAGAUGUAUCAGUCUUCUUGUGAUCACAAAGCAACAAACACAGGAAUGAAAGCCGUGUGCUAAAGAAACAGGAGCAAAAGCUACCAUGGGAGAAGCAUGUCCCAGAAAGCAGCUGGUCCUUUGGCCUGGGCUCCAGAAAAAGAUCUAGAAAACCUCUUGCUCCCAGAAGCAGAGCUGCAGCCCACGUGCAAAGAUCUCUCUGUGUCACCCAGCUGGAAUGCAGCAGCACAAUCAUGGCUCACUGCAGCCUUGAACUCCCAGGCUCAAGCAAUCCUCCCACCUCCACCUCCAGAGUAGCUGUACAUGGAUCCUCAGAUUGGCUUAAGCAACCUGUCUUGAUUAUGAGCGCAUGAACCAGCUCUGAGAUACAAGAAAUAGUCCUACCAAUAAGGACUGCUGCUUCUUACAGUCUUAGUGUUUGUCCUUUAUUGCAGGCAUUGUAUUAGAACGCCUUAAAACCUGUGAAUGUCCUUGGAAAAAGUGUCCUGGAAAACAGUUCUUGUAAUUUUUGCUAAGUAUAAUUAGUCAUGUAACAUGUUUGCAUUAAUUGGGGAAAAUAAUUUGGGAGCCUAUUUUUUUCCUGUAUCAUUCUGUAUCUCACUAAACUUAACACAAAUGUUCAAAGACCCUUGUGAAAAUAUUUGAUAUGUGCUUGCUGAAAUUAUUCUGUUGUUUCAGGAU
rnacentral:lncRNA from 1 species